UGAAGCAUUCAGUUUGUCCCUGCUCUCCGAGUAGAGCACAUCAAAAAAAAAAUUCGGAAAAAAAAUUAUAAAAUAAAAUUUUCAAAAUUUUAAAGGCAUCGGCCAUUUUUUUUUCUGAUCAAAGUAGCGUUUGGCGCAAAAUUCGGGAAAAAAUUAUAAAAUAAAUUUUUCCAAAUUUUAAAGGCAUCGGCAAUUUUUUUUUCUGAUCAAAGUAGCCUUUGGCGCAAAAUUCGGUAAAAUGUUAAGGCACCCCCAGCCAGCCUCAGAAGCAUUCAGUUUGUGCCUGCUCUCCGGGUAGAGCACAUCAAAAAAAUAAUCGGGAAAAAUUAUAAAAUAAAUUUUUCCAAAUUUUAAAGGCAUCUGCAAAUUUUUUUUCUGAUCAAAGUAGCCUUUGGCGCAAAAUUCGGUAAAAUGUUAAGGCACCCCCAGCCAGCCUCAGAAGCAUUCAGUUUGUGCCUGCUCUCCGGGUAGAGCACAUCAAAAAAAUAAUCGGGAAAAAAUUAUAAAAUAAAUUUUUCCAAAUUUUAAAGGCAUCGGCAAUUUUUUUUCUGAUCAAAGUAGGUUUCGGCGCAAAAUUCGGUCAAAAAGUUGAGGUACGCCAGUCAGCCUUUGAAGCAUUCAGUUUGUCCCUGCUCUCCGAGUAGAGCACAUCAAAAAAAAAAUUCGGAAAAAAAAUAUAAAAUAAAAUUUUCAAAAUUUGAAAGGCAUCGGCAAUUUUUUUUUCUGAUCAAAGUAGGUUUCGGCGCAAAAUUCGGUAAAAAGUUAAGGCACCCCAGCCGGCUUCAAAAGCAUUCAGUUUGUGCCUGCCCUCCGAGUAGAGCACAUAAAAAAAAUUUUAUUAAAUUUUUUUUCGAAUUUUAAAGGCAUCGACAUUUUUUUUUUCAGAUCAAAGUAGGUUUCGGCGCAAAAUUCGGUCAAAAAGUUAAGGCACCCCCAGUCAGCUUCAAAAGCAUUCAGUUUGUGCCUGCUCUCCAAAUAGAGCACAUAAAAAAAAAAAAAAAAUAAUAAUAAUCGGGAAAAAAUUAUAAAAUAAGUUUUUCAAAAUUUAAAAGGCAUCGACAAUUUUUUUUUUUUUUUGAAAAUUUUACCGUGUUUAAAAGUUUAUUUUUUUUGUGUUUUUGUUUCUUGAUGUUGAAUUACAAAGAAAAAGUUAAAAAGGAAAAAAAAAAUGUAAAAACAGAAAGAAUAGCGUAGAGCUUUACUGUAUAUAAUUUUCGGCUAUAGUUGUGCAAAAUUUAAAGUGAAAUUAGUUGUUAAGUAAAAGUAUCAAAGUAAAUCAGAAAGUGAAAGUUGUAUAAAGUAAAGUAAAGUAAAGUCGUUCAGAUUGCUUCGGAAUAUUAUUGGUCGCGUAUUUGAAAAUUAAAACACCAGAAAACAGAACUAAAAGUAAAAAGAACGUGGAAUCGAAAAUACAAAAAAAAAAGGUGAAUGUCAAUCAAUGUGAAGGAUGAAAAAAAAGUAAAAAUAAAAACGAUUGAAAAGUGCAAAAAAGUGAACCGGAAUUUGGGUAAAAAGCCUGGACUAUACAAAAAUCUAAAAUCAAAUAUAAAUAAAAAGAAAAAAAAUUAAGAAAUGAAUGAUAUAUAUAUCAAUUGAAAGUCAAAGAAAAAUUUAAGUGACUAAAUACAAAUAAGUGCAAAUUCGAAGUGGAAUUAUUUGGACAUGAAUGCAAAAUUUCAAGUUAAAGAUUUAAUAAUUUAAUUAUCAAAAAAAAAAAAAAAAAAAAAAAAAAACGUAAUGAAAGUAGUGAAUUUAUAACAUCAGAUCUUUGGAUUUUGCGAAUUUGUCGGUAAAUUAGUAAAGAUAAAAGAAAUCAAUAUAAAAAAUGGAAAAAUACUAAGCGAAAUAAAAAUAGCUCUACGCCUGAGUCAACUCCAUGCUCAACUAUUCUAGAAUAUUAUCACGGAUUUACUAAACGUUUAGAAAGAAGCAGUUGUCAAAUUUAAUGUUGUAAUUGAAAAUCGUCUACAAUCAAUAAUUUUUCGAAUCAGAAGUCAAAAUUUUCUGUGAUUGAAUAAAAACCACAGAUCUAUCUCUACAUUGAGAGAGUAGUGUGCUUGACUCUCAAAAUGCUGCAGUUGUUGCAAUCUGAGCUCGACCGACCUGUUACGAUAUGCUAAGCUGGAGCUGUGAUGUGCUGCAGCCUGUCGUGCAUCCAAUCGGAGAGAUUUGGCUUCAAUUUGAGGGUCCCUCAACUUACUUUAUCAGCGAUUAGCUAUACCAGCAUCUCGGGUAUUGCUGUAGCCCAGUAUCUUGCACGGUGUGCAAGAGCCUCGGAAGUUACGGCUUGUCAAUCUCAUUGCUCAAUUGUUAUCUUCCGCUGACCGAAGUUGCGGAUAACUCAGACUAUCUAAGCCUUAUAUACAUAUCUGGUUACGAUCUCCAACACUGUGCUGCACACCUUGGCGAAGCGCAUGGCCAGUCGUUACAUUUAUAUCCUUGUCAUAUGCAUGUGCGGCAGAUGUAGCGUUUUGAGAGUUAACCAUCCCAUUCUCUCAAUGUAGAGAUGGUUCUGUGGAAUAUAUUCUGAGACAUCCUGCUGCAGCCUGUUGGGCAUACUGAUCGCUAGAUUUAGCUUUAAUUUGAUGGCUCAACAGCAUUAUUUCAUUUUGUUAGCGAGUGGCUAUAGAAGAUAUAUAUGUAUACAUAUAUAUUUGGAUUUGCUCGCCUUCAGCAUUUCGGACGAUGCUGUAGUCCAGUAUCUUGCACGGUGUGCAAGAGCCUCGGAAGCUACGGCUUGUCAACCUCAUCAAUGGAGAACUUGAGGACAUGCUGCUGCUAUAGCCACUCGCUGACCGGAGUUACAAGCGCUGAUGAGUCUGAAAUUUGGAAGCAUUAUAUAGCGAACCCGAAUUCCAUUUUGUAUGCCGGGCUGGAGUAGAACACUCAGCGUUCAAAUAUGUGGAUAAUGUAGAACUUUUGUGGCUUAAACACUAAACGAUUGUCUCUAAUGUUAUUCAUUGGAACAAAACAACGCAGCAGAACACUUAUUGACACUGGAUUCUCCUUGAGGUUGUGCCUACUAUAUAAUACUCGAAAUUUUAAUGUAUGCCUACAAUUUGGAUCUUUACUGCUCAGUGGCUUGGGCAUCUGAAUUCCGGUAGCGAUUAAUUUGUAAAUGCAAUAGUACUUCUAAUAAACUUUAUUGUAAGACUGAA